GAGUCUAACAUGUGCGCGAGUCAUUGGGACACGCAAACCUAAAGGCGAAAUGAAAGUAAAGGUCAGCCUCGCGCUGACCGAGGGAGGAUGGGCCGCGUCACGAUGCGGCCCCGCACUCCCGGGGCGUCUCGUUCUCAUUGCGAGAAGAGGCGCACCCAGAGCGUACACGUUGGGACCCGAAAGAUGGUGAACUAUGCCUGGUCAGGACGAAGUCAGGGGAAACCCUGAUGGAGGUCCGUAGCGAUUCUGACGUGCAAAUCGAUCGUCGGAACUGGGUAUAGGGGCGAAAGACUAAUCGAACCAUCUAGUAGCUGGUUCCCUCCGAAGUUUCCCUCAGGAUAGCUGGCACUCGCGUACAAAACGUACACGAGUCUCAUCCGGUAAAGCGAAUGAUUAGAGGCCUUGGGGCCGAAACGACCUCAACCUAUUCUCAAACUUUAAAUGGGUGAGAUCUCUGGCUUGCUUGAACUAUGAAGCCACGAGAUUUCGGAU
rnacentral:rRNA from 2 species